rnacentral:rRNA from 1 species
UUAAGUUAUUAAGGGCGCACGGUGGAUGCCUUGGCACUAGAAGCCGAUGAAGGACGUUACUAACGACGAUAUGCUUUGGGGAGCUGUAAGUAAGCUUUGAUCCAGAGAUUUCCGAAUGGGGAAACCCAGCAUGAGUUAUGUCAUGUUAUCGAUAUGUGAAUACAUAGCAUAUCAGAAGGCACACCCGGAGAACUGAAACAUCUUAGUACCCGGAGGAAGAGAAAGAAAAUUCGAUUCCCUUAGUAGCGGCGAGCGAAACGGGAAGAGCCCAAACCAACAAGCUUGCUUGUUGGGGUUGUAGGACACUCUAUACGGAGUUACAAAGGACGACAUUAGACGAAUCAUCUGGAAAGAUGAAUCAAAGAAGGUAAUAAUCCUGUAGUCGAAAAUGUUGUCUCUCUUGAGUGGAUCCUGAGUACGACGGAGCACGUGAAAUUCCGUCGGAAUCUGGGAGGACCAUCUCCUAAGGCUAAAUACUCUCUAGUGACCGAUAGUGAACCAGUACCGUGAGGGAAAGGUGAAAAGCACCCCGGAAGGGGAGUGAAAUAGAACCUGAAACCGUGUGCUUACAAGUAGUCAGAGCCCGUUAAUGGGUGAUGGCGUGCCUUUUGUAGAAUGAACCGGCGAGUUACGAUUUGAUGCAAGGUUAAGCAGUAAAUGUGGAGCCGUAGCGAAAGCGAGUCUGAAUAGGGCGUUUAGUAUUUGGUCGUAGACCCGAAACCAGGUGAUCUACCCUUGGUCAGGUUGAAGUUCAGGUAACACUGAAUGGAGGACCGAACCGACUUACGUUGAAAAGUGAGCGGAUGAACUGAGGGUAGCGGAGAAAUUCCAAUCGAACCUGGAGAUAGCUGGUUCUCUCCGAAAUAGCUUUAGGGCUAGCCUCAAGUGAUGAUUAUUGGAGGUAGAGCACUGUUUGGACGAGGGGCCCCUCUCGGGUUACCGAAUUCAGACAAACUCCGAAUGCCAAUUAAUUUAACUUGGGAGUCAGAACAUGGGUGAUAAGGUCCGUGUUCGAAAGGGAAACAGCCCAGACCACCAGCUAAGGUCCCAAAAUAUAUGUUAAGUGGAAAAGGAUGUGGCGUUGCCCAGACAACUAGGAUGUUGGCUUAGAAGCAGCCAUCAUUUAAAGAGUGCGUAAUAGCUCACUAGUCGAGUGACACUGCGCCGAAAAUGUACCGGGGCUAAACAUAUUACCGAAGCUGUGGAUUGUCCUUUGGACAAUGGUAGGAGAGCGUUCUAAGGGCGUUGAAGCAUGAUCGUAAGGACAUGUGGAGCGCUUAGAAGUGAGAAUGCCGGUGUGAGUAGCGAAAGACGGGUGAGAAUCCCGUCCACCGAUUGACUAAGGUUUCCAGAGGAAGGCUCGUCCGCUCUGGGUUAGUCGGGUCCUAAGCUGAGGCCGACAGGCGUAGGCGAUGGAUAACAGGUUGAUAUUCCUGUACCACCUAUAAUCGUUUUAAUCGAUGGGGGGACGCAGUAGGAUAGGCGAAGCGUGCGAUUGGAUUGCACGUCUAAGCAGUAAGGCUGAGUAUUAGGCAAAUCCGGUACUCGUUAAGGCUGAGCUGUGAUGGGGAGAAGACAUUGNGUCUUCGAGUCGUUGAUUUCACACUGCCGAGAAAAGCCUCUAGAUAGAAAAUAGGUGCCCGUACCGCAAACCGACACAGGUAGUCAAGAUGAGAAUUCUAAGGUGAGCGAGCGAACUCUCGUUAAGGAACUCGGCAAAAUGACCCCGUAACUUCGGGAGAAGGGGUGCUCUUUAGGGUUAACGCCCAGAAGAGCCGCAGUGAAUAGGCCCAAGCGACUGUUUAUCAAAAACACAGGUCUCUGCUAAACCGUAAGGUGAUGUAUAGGGGCUGACGCCUGCCCGGUGCUGGAAGGUUAAGAGGAGUGGUUAGCUUCUGCGAAGCUACGAAUCGAAGCCCCAGUAAACGGCGGCCGUAACUAUAACGGUCCUAAGGUAGCGAAAUUCCUUGUCGGGUAAGUUCCGACCCGCACGAAAGGCGUAACGAUUUGGGCACUGUCUCAACGAGAGACUCGGUGAAAUCAUAGUACCUGUGAAGAUGCAGGUUACCCGCGACAGGACGGAAAGACCCCGUGGAGCUUUACUGUAGCCUGAUAUUGAAAUUCGGCACAGCUUGUACAGGAUAGGUAGGAGCCUUUGAAACGUGAGCGCUAGCUUACGUGGAGGCGCUGGUGGGAUACUACCCUAGCUGUGUUGGCUUUCUAACCCGCACCACUUAUCGUGGUGGGAGACAGUGUCAGGCGGGCAGUUUGACUGGGGCGGUCGCCUCCUAAAAGGUAACGGAGGCGCUCAAAGGUUCCCUCAGAAUGGUUGGAAAUCAUUCAUAGAGUGUAAAGGCAUAAGGGAGCUUGACUGCGAGACCUACAAGUCGAGCAGGGUCGAAAGACGGACUUAGUGAUCCGGUGGUUCCGCAUGGAAGGGCCAUCGCUCAACGGAUAAAAGCUACCCCGGGGAUAACAGGCUUAUCUCCCCCAAGAGUUCACAUCGACGGGGAGGUUUGGCACCUCGAUGUCGGCUCAUCGCAUCCUGGGGCUGUAGUCGGUCCCAAGGGUUGGGCUGUUCGCCCAUUAAAGCGGUACGCGAGCUGGGUUCAGAACGUCGUGAGACAGUUCGGUCCCUAUCCGUCGUGGGCGUAGGAAAUUUGAGAGGAGCUGUCCUUAGUACGAGAGGACCGGGAUGGACAUACCUCUGGUGUACCAGUUGUCGUGCCAACGGCAUAGCUGGGUAGCUAUGUGUGGACGGGAUAAGUGCUGAAAGCAUCUAAGCAUGAAGCCCCCCUCAAGAUGAGAUUUCCCAACUUCGGUUAUAAGAUCCCUCAAAGAUGAUGAGGUUAAUAGGUU